rnacentral:rRNA from 1 species
GCGCGAAAACUUUACAAUGCUGGCAACAGCGACAAGGGAACCUCGAGUGCCAGGUUACGAAUCUGGCUGUCGAGAUGCCUAAAAAGCAUUUCAUAGCAAGGGCCGGGCAAGACCGGUGCCAGCCGCCGCGGUAACACCGGCGGCUCGAGUGGUAACCGUUAUUAUUGGGUCUAAAGGGUCUGUAGCCGGCCGGAUAAGUCUCUUGAGAAAUCUGGCAGCUUAACUGUCAGGCUUUCAGGAGAUACUGUCUGGCUCGAGGCCGGGAGAGGUGAGAGGUACUUCAGGGGUAGGGGUGAAAUCUUGUAAUCCUUGAAGGACCACCAGUGGCGAAGGCGUCUCACCAGAACGGACCUGACGGCAAGGGACGAAAGCUAGGGGCACGAACC